rnacentral:rRNA from 1 species
GACGAACGCUGGCGGCGUGCUUAACACAUGCAAGUCGAACGGAAAGGCCCUGCUUUUGUGGGGUGCUCGAGUGGCGAACGGGUGAGUAACACGUGAGUAACCUGCCCUUGACUUUGGGAUAACUUCAGGAAACUGGGGCUAAUACCGGAUAGGAGCUCCUGCUGCAUGGUGGGGGUUGGAAAGUUUCGGCGGUUGGGGAUGGACUCGCGGCUUAUCAGCUUGUUGGUGGGGUAGUGGCUUACCAAGGCUUUGACGGGUAGCCGGCCUGAGAGGGUGACCGGCCACAUGGGGACUGAGAUACGGCCCAGACUCCUACGGGAGGCAGCAGUGGGGAAUAUUGCACAAUGGGCGGAAGCCUGAUGCAGCAACGCCGUGUGCGGGAUGACGGCCUUCGGGUUGGAAACCGCUUUCGCCUGUGACGAAGCGUGAGUGACGGUAAUGGGUAAAGAAGCACCGGCUAACUACGU